rnacentral:rRNA from 1 species
CCUACGGGAGGCAGCAGUGGGGAAUUUUGGACAAUGGGGGCAACCCUGAUCCAGCCAUUCCGCGUGAGUGAAGAAGGCCUUCGGGUUGUAAAGCUCUUUCGCAAGGGAAGAAAACUUAUGAUCGAAUAAAUCAUGAGGUUGACGGUACCUUGAUAAGAAGCACCGGCUAACUACGUGCCAGCAGCCGCGGUAAUACGUAGGGUGCGAGCGUUAAUCGGAAUUACUGGGCGUAAAGCGUGCGCAGGCGGUUUUGUAAGUCGGAUGUGAAAUCCCCGGGCUCAACCUGGGAACUGCGUUCGAAACUGCAAGGCUAGAGUGUGUCAGAGGGGGGUAGAAUUCCACGUGUAGCAGUGAAAUGCGUAGAGAUGUGGAGGAAUACCAAUGGCGAAGGCAGCCCCCUGGGAUAACACUGACGCUCAUGCACGAAAGCGUGGGGAGCAAACAGGAUUAGAUACCCUGGUAGUCCACGCCCUAAACGAUGUCAACUAGUUGUUGGUAGAGUAAAAUCUAUGAGUAACGUAGCUAACGCGUGAAGUUGACCGCCUGGGGAGUACGGUCGCAAGAUUAAAACCGUGAAAGGUAUUAGACCGGNGUGAGACGUGCGACGGACGACGACGAGGGAGGAGG